GAUAGGGGUUCUGAGAGGAAGGUCCCCCACAUUGGAACUGAGACACGGUCCAAACUCCUACGGGAGGCAGCAGUGAGGAAUAUUGGUCAAUGGGCGAGAGCCUGAACCAGCCAAGUAGCGUGAAGGAUGAAGGUCCUACGGAUUGUAAACUUCUUUUAUAAGGGAAUAAAACGCUCCACGUGUGGAGCCUUGUAUGUACCUUAUGAAUAAGCAUCGGCUAACUCCGUGCCAGCAGCCGCGGUAAUACGGAGGAUGCGAGCGUUAUCCGGAUUUAUUGGGUUUAAAGGGAGCGCAGACGGGAUGCUAAGUCAGCUGUGAAAGUUUGCGGCUCAACCGUAAAAUUGCAGUUGAUACUGGCGUUCUUGAGUGCAGUUGAGGUGUGCGGAAUUCGUGGUGUAGCGGUGAAAUGCUUAGAUAUCACGAAGAACUCCGAUUG
rnacentral:rRNA from 1 species